GUAUUUACGAAUUUAGCACCAAAAUAUCACGAUAUAUUGAAAACAUUGACUACAAAAAUGGCUUGGAUAAUCCAGAGGCUUGGAUAAGCGAGGCUUGGAUAAGUGAGACUCUACUGUAUAUAGAUAGAUAUAGUAUCUAGAUCUUGACUGUCAGUUGUUUGGAAGUCAAGAUAUUUGUAACUCGGGGACGGCUUGUA
rnacentral:lncRNA from 11 species